UUAACACAUGCAAGUCGAACGAGAUCCUUCGGGGUCUAGUGGCGAACGGGUGAGUAACACGUGAGCAACCUGCCCUUGGCUCUGGGAUAGCCUCCGGAAACGGGGAUUAAUACCGGACAUGACCCGGGAUCGCAUGAUCCGGGGUGGAAAGUUUUUCGGCCAGGGAGGGGCUCGCGGCCUAUCAGCUUGGUUGGGGGGGUAACGGCCCACCAAGGCGACGACGGGUAGCCGGCCUGAGAGGGCGACCGGCCACACUGGGACUGAGACACGGCCCAGACUCCUACGGGAGGCAGCAGUGGGGAAUAUUGCACAAUGGGGGAAACCCUGAUGCAGCGACGCCGCGUGCGGGAUGAAGGCCUUCGGGUUGUAAACCGCUUUCAGCAGGGGCGAAUUCAGACGGUACCUGCAGAAGAAGCGCCGGCUAACUACGUGCCAGCAGCCGCGGUAAUACGUAGGGCGCGAGCGUUGUCCGGAAUUAUUGGGCGUAAAGAGCUCGUAGGCGGCCUGUUGCGUCCGCUGUGAAAUCCCGGGGCUUAACCCCGGGCGUGCAGUGGAUACGGGCAGGCUGGAGGCAGGCAGGGGAGAACGGAAUUCCCGGUGUAGCGGUGAAAUGCGCAGAUAUCGGGAGGAACACCGGUGGCGAAGGCGGUUCUCUGGGCCUGUUCUGACGCUGAGGAGCGAAAGCGUGGGGAGCGAACAGGAUUAGAUACCCUGGUAGUCCACGCCGUAAACGUUGGGCGCUAGGUGUGGGUCCCUUCCACGGGGUCUGUGCCGCAGCUAACGCAUUAAGCGCCCCGCCUGGGGAGUACGGCCGCAAGGCUAAAACUCAAAGNAAUUGACGGGGGCCCGCACAAGCGGCGGAGCAUGUUGCUUAAUUCGACGCAACGCGAAGAACCUUACCAAGGUUUGACAUGGCCGGAAAACUCAUGGAGACAUGGGGUCCUUCGGGGCCGGUCACAG
rnacentral:rRNA from 1 species